CCUACGGGAGGCAGCAGUGAGGAAUAUUGGACAAUGGGCGCGAGCCUGAACCAGCCAAGUAGCGUGAAGGAUGACUGCCCUAGGGGUUGUAAACCUCUUCUAUAAAGGAGUAAAGUGAGGCACGUGUGCCUUUUUGGAUGUACUGUAUGAAUAAGGAUCAGCUAACUCCGUGCCAGCGGCCGGGGUAAGACGGAGGGUCCGAACGUUAUCCGGAUUUAUCGGGGGUAAAGGGAGCGUAGUGGGGUUGUUAUGUGAGUUGUGAAAUCUUGCGGCUAAGCCGUAAAAUUGAAGUUGAUACUGGCAAUCUUGAGUACUGUAGAGGUAAGCGGAAUUCGUGGUGUAGCGGUGAAAUGCGCAGAUAUCAGGAAGAACUCCGAUUGCGAAGGCAGGUUACUAGACAGUCACUGACAUUGAGGCGCGAAAGUGUGGGUAUCGAACAGGAUUAGAUACCCCUGUAGUC
rnacentral:rRNA from 1 species